CCGGCCACUGCACUCCAGCUCGGGCGACAGAGCGAGACUCCGUCUCAAAAAAAAAAAAGAAGCGUUGGGCCACAUGCAUGCAUUGCCUUUCCCAGGUACCUGGUGCUCCAUCGCCAGUAAUAAGGUGCAUUGGAAAUUCAAAUUUCGGAAUAAGCUGACUGCCAAGAGGGUCCUCCCCCUGUCGGGGCCUGUCUGAGCCCCUUAGUCCAUGGGAAAUUCACAGAGAAGGGAACGGUCACUUUUCCUGCACCUGAGAAGGCAUGAUGGCUGGAGCUGGAGCAGCUAUUUUGGGCCAUAAGACAAAAGUUGAAUGCAGAGAAUUUGGGAGCAGCAAGACAGAAAAAAUCAAGGUCCCUAAUGAUUGUGGCAUCACCAUGCCAACCUGGACUGUAUUCCUAGAGAAAAUAAAAUUUAAAUGAGAGAAACAAAAUUCUAUCACAUUUAGGCUUCUGUUAUUCAGGUAUCCAUCAUUCGUAGCUGAAAUGAAUCCAAAUUAAUACUGGAGUAGAACUUGAAUUUAGACCCAGGCUUGCCUGACACUGAGAAACUCCACCAGUGUUUCUUAAAGCGUUGAUGGGUGACUACCUGAAUCAGAAUCAUAGUGAGAAGCAUGUUUAAAACACAGAUUAUAGGCCAGGUGCAGUGGCUAACAUCUAUAAUCCUAGCACUU